rnacentral:tRNA from 1 species
AGUGUCGUAGUUGAGUUGUUUAAGCACUUGACUUGAAAUUCAAAGGUUGUGGGUUCGAUCCCGACACAGCACUA